AAAAAAAGAGAAAGAGACAUCUGCGGUGGGGAAGCCCAUAUCUAUAUUUAAAAAAAUGUCAUCAAAGAAGAUAGACUGGAGUAACCCACCCAGAAGGAGCCGCCGUAUCCAGUGGCCGAUUUCUUCAUCAUCUUCUGCGGAGGGCUCUCCGGAAGUGGCUGCCGGGGCCAGCUCACCAGAAUCACCUGCAUCCAGGGGAGGUGGACCAAGCCCGGUCCGGGGCUGUCA